rnacentral:RNase_P_RNA from 1 species
AGCGGGGCGUGCGGUUGCGGGGCGAAAGCCACGAGGAAAGUCCGCGCUCCAAUCGGCAAGGAUGCCGCCUAACGGACGGUGAAGGUAACUUUAAGGAAAGUGCAACAGAAAAUUACCGCGCUUUAAAAGCGUAAGGGUGAAAAGGCAGGGUAAGAGCCUACCGACGACGCGGAGACGCGCCGUGCAGUGUAAACCCCAUUCGGAGCAAGAUAGGGGCGACUCAAUCGGCAGCCGAGCCGAGUCGCCCGUUAAACGUCGCUUGAGGUCGUCGGCAACGACGAUCCUAGAUAGAUAACCGCAUUAAAUGACAGAACGCGGCUUAUAACCCCGCUUGU